rnacentral:rRNA from 1 species
GUGGGGAAUAUUGGACAAUGGGCGAAAGCCUGAUCCAGCCAUGCCGCGUGUGUGAAGAAGGUCUUCGGAUUGUAAAGCACUUUAAGUUGGGAGGAAGGGCAGUAAGUUAAUACCUUGCUGUUUUGACGUUACCGACAGAAUAAGCACCGGCUAACUUCGUGCCAGCAGCCGCGGUAAUACGAAGGGUGCAAGCGUUAAUCGGAAUUACUGGGCGUAAAGCGCGAGUAGGUGGUUUUGUAAGUUGGAGGUGAAAUCCCCGGGCUCAACCUGGGAACUGCCUCCAAAACUGCAUGACUAGAGUACGGUAGAGGGUAGUGGAAUUUCCUGUGUAGCGGUGAAAUGCGUAGAUAUAGGAAGGAACACCAGUGGCGAAGGCGACUACCUGGACUGAUACUGACACUGAGGUGCGAAAGCGUGGGGAGCAAACAGGAUUAGAUACCCCAGUAGUCC